GGGCUUGACUGGAUUUGACAGCGGGCAGAAAUGGUAAGUAAGCAUGCAGUGGGUCGGUAAUUUCCACUUAAAUCUCAGUUAUCAAAAUUUUAUCUGGCGAAACUAAUUACGCUCUUGCUGCUUAAUCGAAUCAUAGUAGAUUAGCUUAAUCCAGGCACAAGGUGCCAGGGGGAUAGUCAAAGGCGGCCUCGCACUUUUGAUGAAACUUUAGAGGAUAAGGUGGGAAUUGAUGGCUUUGGUUCUGUUCCUGCACGAAAAUUUAGGCAAAGAUAAGCAUGUAGAAAGCUUAUGAUUUCCUCGUUUGGACGAGGGUUCGAUUCCCUCCAGGUCCACUA
rnacentral:tmRNA from 1 species